rnacentral:rRNA from 1 species
GACAGAGGUGCCGAGCGUUAGGCGGAAUCACUGGGCUUAAAGCGUGUGUAGGCGGGUCGUUAAGUGCCUUGUGAAAUCCCACCGCUCACCGGUGGAACUGCUUGGCAUACUGGCGAUCUUGAGCCACUUAGGGGCAACCGGAACAAACGGUGGAGCGGUGAAAUGCGUAGAGAUCAGGAAGAACACCGGUGGCGAAAGCGCUCUGCUGGACCUUAACUGACACUGAGGGACGAAAGCUAGGGGAGCGAAUGGG